AUUGAACGCUGACGGCAUGCUUUACACAUGCAAGUCGAGCGGCAGCGCGGGGGCAACCCUGGCGGCGAGCGGCGGACGGGUGAGUAAUGCAUCGGAACGUAUCCCGUAGUGGGAGACAACCCAGCGAAAGCUGGGCUAAUACCGCAUAUGCUCUACGGAGGAAAGCAGGGGACUCGCAAGAGCCUUGUGCUAUGGGAGCGGCCGAUGUCCGAUUAGCUAGUUGUGGGUAAAGGGCUUACCAAGGCGACGAUCGGUAGCUGGUCUGAGAGGAUGAUCAGCCACACUGGGACUGAGACACGGCCCAGACUCCUACGGGAGGCAGCAGUGGGGAAUUUUGGACAAUGGGGCAACCCUGAUCCAGCCAUGCCGCGUGC
rnacentral:rRNA from 1 species